rnacentral:tRNA from 2 species
GCGCCCGUAGCUCAACUGGAUAGAGUACUUGACUACGAAUCAAGCGGUUAGAGGUUCGACUCCUCUCGGGCGCA